rnacentral:rRNA from 1 species
CAAUAGCGUAUAUUAAAGUUGUUGUGGUUAAAAAGCUCGUAGUUGAACCUUGGGCCUGGCCGUCCGGUCCGCCUCACCGCGUGUACUGGCUCGGCCGGGCCUUUCCCUCUGUGGAACCCCAUGCCCUUCACUGGGCGUGGCGGGGAAACAGGACUUUUACUGUGAAAAAAUUAGAGUGCUCCAGGCAGGCCUAUGCUCGAAUACAUUAGCAUGGAAUAAUAGAAUAGGACGUGUGGUUCUAUUUUGUUGGUUUCUAGGACCGCCGUAAUGAUUAAUAGGGACAGUCGGGGGCAUCAGUAUUCAAUUGUCAGAGGUGAAAUUCUUGGAUUUAUGAAAGACGAACUACUGCGAAAGCAUUUGCCAAGGAUGUUUUCAUUAA